rnacentral:rRNA from 1 species
UUGACCUCAAAUCAGGUAGGACUACCCGCUGAACUUAAGCAUAUCAAUAAGCGGAGGAAAAGAAACUAACAAGGAUUCCCCUAGUAACUGCGAGUGAAGCGGGAAAAGCUCAAAUUUAAAAUCUGGUGGUCUUUGGCCAUCCGAGUUGUAAUCUAGAGAAGUGUUAUCCGCGCUGGACCGUGUACAAGUCUCCUGGAAUGGAGCGUCAUAGAGGGUGAGAAUCCCGUCUUUGACACGGACUGCCAGGGCUUUGUGAUGCGCUCUCAAAGAGUCGAGUUGUUUGGGAAUGCAGCUCAAAAUGGGUGGUAAAUUCCAUCUAAAGCUAAAUAUUGGCGAGAGACCGAUAGCGAACAAGUACCGUGAGGGAAAGAUGAAAAGAACUUUGGAAAGAGAGUUAAACAGUACGUGAAAUUGCUGAAAGGGAAACGCUUGAAGUCAGUCGCGUUGUCCGGGAAUCAACCUUGCUUUUGCUGGGCGUACUUCCCGGUUGACGGGUCAGCAUCAAUUUUGACCGUUGGAUAAAGUCUAGGGGAAUGUGGCAUCUUCGGAUGUGUUAUAGCCCUUGGUCGCAUACAACGAUUGGGAUUGAGGAACUCAGCACGCCGCAAGGCCGGGUAUUCGUACCACGUUCGUGCUUAGGAUGCUGGCAUAAUGGCUUUAAUCGACCCGUC